rnacentral:RNase_P_RNA from 1 species
GCAGCGUUCCGGCUCUGUCGCUUGUGUCGCUUUAAUGGCAUUACACAAGAGGAAAGUCCGGGCAGCACAGGGUGCCCCACUUCCGAAAAUAGAAGUUGUUGGCAACAGCAAGUAAGGGCAGAAGAAAAUAACCGCCAUGCCCCAUCUGUAAAGGUGUGACAUGGUAAGGGUGAGAAGGCGGUGUAAGAGACCACCAGACGACGGGUGACCGUUCAUGCUGUGUCCACUGGGGGCUGCAAGUUCAUGUAAACCGUCGUUGAGGGUUGCCCGCCCGACUUAUUCCGACGGAGGGUAGAACGCUUUAGGUACGGGGUGACUCGUAUCAUAGAUAGAUGACAGGCAUCGCGGGCUGUAAUGCCUACGAAACGGAACCCGGCUUACAGGGACACUGCUUUC